GGAAGGUUGAGUGUGGGCGAUAGUCUUGCUAACCCGGUCAGGUUCGGAAGAAAGCAGCCGUAACAAGUAACGUCGGGUCACAUUAAAGCUCAACCUU
rnacentral:SRP_RNA from 1 species